rnacentral:rRNA from 1 species
UACGGGGGGGGCAAGCGUUGUUCGGAAUUACUGGGCGUAAAGGGCUCGUAGGCGGCCAACUAAGUCAGACGUGAAAUCCCUCGGCUUAACCGGGGAACUGCGUCUGAUACUGGAUGGCUUGAGUUUGGGAGAGGGAUGCGGAAUUCCAGGUGUAGCGGUGAAAUGCGUAGAUAUCGGGAGGAACACCGGUGGCGAAGGCGGCGGCCUGGGUUGACACUGACGCUGAGGCGCGAAAGCGUGGGGAGCAAACAGG